CCUACGGGUGGCAGCAGUGAGGAAUAUUGGUCAAUGGGCGAGAGCCUGAACCAGCCAAGUCGCGUGAAGGAUGAAGGAUCUAUGGUUUGUAAACUUCUUUUAUAUGGGAAUAAAGUGAGGAACGUGUUCCUUUUUGUAUGUACCAUAUGAAUAAGCAUCGGCUAACUCCGUGCCAGCAGCCGCGGUAAUCCGGAGGAUGCGAGCGUUAUCCGGAUUUAUUGGGUUUAAAGGGUGCGUGGGUGGUUAAUGAAGUCAGCGGUAAAAUGUCCGGGCUCAACCCGGGCCGGCCGUUGAAACUGGGGAUCUUGAGUGGGCGAGAAGUAUGCGGAAUGCGUGGUGUAGCAGUGAAAUGCAUAGAUAUCACGAAGAACUCCGAUGGCGAAGGCAGCAUACCGGCGCCCGACUGACGCUGAGGCACGAAGGCGUGGGGAUCGAACAGGAUUAGAUACCCUGGUAGUC
rnacentral:rRNA from 1 species